rnacentral:lncRNA from 1 species
GAGAAUGUCUUAUUUUCUUUUGUCUAGUUAGGAAGCUAACCAUAAUGAAUCAGAAGGACACCAAAUGGCUGUUCCCAUGCAGCUGGUUUGAUUGGGGAGUUACAUAAAUUGGACUCAUUCACCUCACAGGCUCUCUUGUCAAAAUUUCACUUCUAAGCAUUAAAGAAAUGCUGAAUUGACAAAAGAAAAAGCACAUGGCCCUGAGCUUUAAAUAUUGCUUGAAAAUGAAGGUGCUUGUAGGAACAAUUGUGUUAUGUUUCCUUUUCUAAACUAUCAUAAAAAUUAAAAGGGAAAAGUGGAAUGUUCUGUGAAUUAAAAGUCUUGAGAAACACUACUACAGAUAUAAAUAUUUAGGAGGUAUCAUGCACUGAGAGCUAUUGCUUGAAGUUAUGCAAACUUUUAACUUUGUAAAAACACAAAAUUCUAGAAAACAAUUAGAAUACUCUGCAAUAUGUUAUUGCAUAUUAACAGGGAUUCCUUGGCCAGAGAACUAAUUUUAGUGGCAUGGUUUCUUAUUCAAAGGAAAAUUUCAAAUUUUUCAAAAGAAACAUUUGUUCUGUCUCCUACAAGAAUAUUUUUAGUGAACUCAUAUUUGGAGGAGAAAAAAGAUGAUUAUGAGGACGUUUUGCUAUGUGUGUGCUGCACAUGAAUCUUAAUAGAAAAUUCAACUAAAUUCAAAACAUGUUCGUAGUACUCACUCACGUAAAAAUUUGAAUGUAGUGGUAUUCUAAACCCAAAGUUACUACCAUCAAGGAGCUCAUAAAUGAAUAGAGAAUAUAAGCAUGUACAGCCAACAAUACUACAAUGUAAAAAGAUUUUAUGGUAGAAGAAAACUUUGAGCAAGUCCUUGAAAAGUGAAGAAUACCUAUUAGUAGAAGGUGGAAAGGGAAAAACAUGCUCAGGUAAAGGGAUUGAUAGGGGCAAAGGUGCAUGGCUUCAGGCUUCGGUAGGGCAGAUUCUUGCAGUGGGUGCCUGGGAAAUAUGGAGCAGGAUGUAGGAAAAGGAGAAGAGUCUAGAAAGCAAGAGUAAAUUGAGUUUUUAAGAUUUUACCAUAUGAGAAAGAAGGAGUGAUAGACGUUUUCAUAAAUAUGUAUUUGAGAAAAAUAAUUGAGUUUGC